rnacentral:rRNA from 1 species
GGAAGGGGUGUAUUUAUUAGAUUAAAAGCCAACGCCCUUCGGGGCUUCUUGGUGAUUCAUGAUAACUGGUCGAAUCGCAUGGCCUUGCGCCGGCGAUGGUUCAUUCAAAUUUCUGCCCUAUCAACUUUCGAUGGUAGGAUAGUGGCCUACCAUGGUUUCAACGGGUAACGGGGAAUUAGGGUUCUAUUCCGGAGAGGGAGCCUGAGAAACGGCUACCACAUCCAAGGAAGGCAGCAGGCGCGCAAAUUACCCAAUCCCGACACGGGGAGGUAGUGACAAUAAAUACUGAUACAGGGCUCUUUUGGGUCUUGUAAUUGGAAUGAGUACAAUUUAAAUCCCUUAACGAGGAACAAUUGGAGGGCAAGUCUGGUGCCAGCAGCCGCGGUAAUUCCAGCUCCAAUAGCGUAUAUUAAAGUUGUUGCAGUUAAAAAGCUCGUAGUUGAACCUUGGGCCUGGUUGGUCGGUCCGCCUCGCGGCGUGCACUGAUCCGACCGGGCCUUUCCUUCUGGGGAACCGCAUGCCCUUCAUUGGGUGUGUUGGGGAACCAGGACUUUUAC